rnacentral:tRNA from 1 species
GCGGGGUUGGUUUAGUGGUAAAACAUCAGCCUUCCAAGCUGAGGACACGGGUUCAAUUCCCGUACCCCGCU